UCAACAACGGAUCUCUUGGUUCUGGCAUCGAUGAAGAACGCAGCGAAAUGCGAUAAGUAGUGUGAAUUGCAGAAUUCAGUGAAUCAUCGAAUCUUUGAACGCACAUUGCGCCCUUUGGUAUUCCAAAGGGCAUGCCUGUUCGAGCGUCAUUU
rnacentral:rRNA from 1 species